UUUUGAUUGUUGCUCAGAAUGUCAAGUAAAUGAGUGGACAUUCCAAGAACAAUCAAAGUU
rnacentral:pre_miRNA from 1 species